rnacentral:misc_RNA from 1 species
GGAUGAAGAACGUAGCGAAAUACGAUAAGUAAUGUGAAUUGCAGAAUUCAGUGAAUCAUCGAAUCUUUGAACGCACAUUGCGCCCGCCAGUAUUCUGGCGGGCAUGCCUGUCUGAGCGUCAUUUCAACCCUCAUGCCCCUAGGGCGUGGUGUUGGGGAUCGGCCAAAGCCCGCGAGGGACGGCCGGCCCCUAAAUCUAGUGGCGGACCCGUCGUGGCCUCCUCUGCGAAGUAGUGAUAUUCCGCAUCGGAGAGCGACGAGCCCCUGCCGUUAAACCCCCAACUUUCCAAGGUUGACCUCAGAUCAGGUAGGAAUACCCGCUGAACUUAAGCAUAUCAAUAAGCGGAGGA